UAACACCUCAUUCUUUUGCAAGUUUAUUUUAUUGUUUUCAAUGAUUGACUUCCAGUAGUUAAAGUUCAAGUUUCAGCUUUGGGUGAGUGAAAAGUUAAUAUAGACAUCUUUGGAAAAAGAAACAAACAUUCACACUCAGUAACUUUGUUUAACACCCAAGAGGUGACCAGAUGCAACUUUCAAGGAACAGAAUGUGAGGCUCCUUGAACCCACUUCUACCAAUGACGUACAUGGCUUUCAGUGGAUUGCAGCACAACUCAAGGUUUAAUACCAUGGAACCCAAAGGUUCUCACAUGCAGUAUUGGAGCUCCGAGUGUUGGAGGACAAACGUCCUGAACAAGCAAGUAGCUAAGGCAUUGCAGCUGACAGAUGGAAAUCAAAUGACUUGGAAUGAAGAAUGAGCCAUAAAUUUGGUACAUAGAGAAUGAAGAAGAAAUCUUCCGACAUGAAGAUUAAAAAUAUCUAAAACAAAUU